UAAUACAUGCAAGUCGAACGCACUCUCGUUUAGAUUGAAGGAGCUUGCUCCUGAUUGAUAACAUUUGAGUGAGUGGCGGACGGGUGAGUAACACGUGGGUAACCUGCCCUAAAGUGGGGGAUAACAUUUGGAAACAGAUGCUAAUACCGCAUAAAACCUAACACCGCAUGGUGUAGGGUUGAAAGAUGGUUUCGGCUAUCACUUUAGGAUGGACCCGCGGUGCAUUAGUUAGUUGGUGAGGUAAAGGCUCACCAAGACCGUGAUGCAUAGCCGACCUGAGAGGGUAAUCGGCCACACUGGGACUGAGACACGGCCCAGACUCCUACGGGAGGCAGCAGUAGGGAAUCUUCCACAAAGGACGAAAGUCUGAUGGAGCAACGCCGCGUGAGUGAAGAAGGUUUUCGGAUCGUAAAACUCUGUUGUUGGAGAAGAAUGUAUCUGAUAGUAACUGAUCAGGUAGUGACGGUAUCCAACCAGAAAGCCACGGCUAACUACGUG
rnacentral:rRNA from 1 species